rnacentral:rRNA from 1 species
UACGUAGGGGGCAAGCGUUUGUCCGGAUUUAUUGGGCGUAAAGAGCGUGUAGGCGGCUUUGCAAGUCCGUUGUGAAAACUCGAGGCUCAACCUCGAGCUGUCGGCGGAAACCAUCUGGCUAGAGUCCGGAAGAGGAGAAUGGAAUUCCCGGUGUAGCGGUGAAAUGCGCAGAUAUCGGGAAGAACACCCGUGGCGAAGGCGGUUCUCUGGGACGGUACUGACGCUGAGACGCGAAAGCGUGGGGAGCGAACAGG